AAAAAUUCACGAACCGCACACUUAAUGUAUAUUAGCCAAUGAAAUUGAUUUAUUAGCGGAAAUCACGGCAGAUGUGCAUCAACGGUAUAAAAAACAUUGUUUUUAUAUUUUUAUUCCUUGUUAAAUUAAAUAAAAAUUUGGGGAAUUACUAGUAAGUAAGUAACCGCUUCACUUUGCCGUCACACCGUAUGACCCCAAAACCUCUAUCUAAG
rnacentral:lncRNA from 1 species